rnacentral:lncRNA from 1 species
UGUACACAUACUACAUUAGCUUUUCACUUGUUUCAGUCAGGCAUCGUUUUGAGGAAUUUUCAGUCGAAUGAAUCAACCCCUGGUCUUAUUUAAAAAGAUAGUUUUGUUAAGCCUAUUGUUAAGCCUAUCGUCUCUUUCGCCGAACAGCUAAACUACGUCAUAGGAAUUCGACCAUGCUGGGGCACAGCCUUCACGGGUUUAGUGGAAUAUAUCGACACCAAUGCUUAUUUUUAGUGUGCUACUUAUUCAUCAGACACUUUGGCAAAUGUUUGCAACGUAAACAACUCAAUACCCAUUGUCAAACGAGGAUGAGGACAAACAAUGACACACACACACAAUAUAUAAUACCUCCAAGACCACCACCACCACCAUCACCAAACGUAGACGAUUGAUUGUGUAAACAAUAUUCAUAAUAUAGCACAAUCUUUAAACAAACACAAAGACAAAUCAUAUAUAAAAAUGAGCGCCUGGCGGAUGAUGGAUAAAUCUAACCACACGAAUUCAAACUUUGCUGGUAUUGUUUACAGCUAUCAUAUUGGCCUUGUCUACAAUGGAAUUAACAGCAGCCACGCCAUCAGCACGCCACCUAGAAGAUGAGACU